GUAGGGAAUAUUGCGCAAUGGGGGAAACCCUGACGCAGCGACGCCGCGUGAGUGAUGAAGGCCUUCGGGUCGUAAAGCUCUGUUGCAGGGGAAUAAAAAAAUGAAGGUACCCUGUGAGGAAGGAUCGGCUAACUUCGUGCCAGCAGCCGCGGUAAGACGAGGGAUCCUAGCGUUGCUCGGAAUCAUUGGGCGUAAAGAGGGCGUAGGUGGCUUGGUAAGUCAGGUGUGAAAGCCCAGGGCUCAACCCUGGAAGUGCAUUUGAUACUGCUGAGCUUGAGUGUCGGAGAGGUUACCGGAAUACCUGGUGUAGUGGUGAAAUACGUAGAUAUCAGGUGGAACACCGGCGGCGAAGGCGGGUAACUGGACGAACACUGACACUGAGGCCCGAAAGCGUGGGGAUCAAACAGGAUUAGAUACCCGGGUAGUCC
rnacentral:rRNA from 1 species